rnacentral:rRNA from 1 species
CCUACGGGGGGCUGCAGUGGGGAAUAUUGGACAAUGGGGGCAACCCUGAUCCAGCCAUGCCGCGUGUGUGAAGAAGGCCCUCGGGUUGUAAAGCACUUUCAGUGAGGAAGAACGCCUGGUGGUUAAUACCCAUCAGGAAAGACAUCACUCACAGAAGAAGCACCGGCUAACUCCGUGCCAGCAGCCGCGGUAAUACGGAGGGUGCGAGCGUUAAUCGGAAUUACUGGGCGUAAAGCGCGCGUAGGUGGCUUGAUAAGCCGGUUGUGAAAGCCCCGGGCUCAACCUGGGAACGGCAUCCGGAACUGUCAAGCUAGAGUGCAGGAGAGGAAGGUAGAAUUGCCGGUGUAGCGGUGAAAUGCGUAGAGAUCGGGAGGAAUACCAGUGGCGAAGGCGGCCUUCUGGACUGACACUGACACUGAGGUGCGAAAGCGUGGGUAGCAAACAGGAUUAGAUACCCUAGUAGUC